CCGCGGGCCACGCGACGGGGACCCCAGGGUGCGCGCAGGUGGCGGGGACGCGCGAUGGGGGCCCGGGAAGCUGAGGCUGACCUAGCGCAGGCAUCCCAGGAGGGGAGGUCCCUGACGCUGCGCAGCUGGGAAGGCGUUCGGGAGUGGGUUGCGAUGCUUCCCUGUUUGUUUUCUCCUGACAUCGUUUUUGUUUGGGUCCAGGGGCCUCACGGGAGCUGGAUGCUCGGAGCAGCAAGGCGGCCCUGGGGGCCCCUUCCGGUCCCGGGGCUGACGCCUGGCGGCGUCUCCGGGAACCCGCGCCCUUUCAAGCGCCGCUGGCUCCUGUUUCACAGAUGGAGACCCUGAAGCCCCAACAAGCAGCCUCCCCAGCACCUCCCAGUGACUGAAAAAGCUGGCACUGGGCGCCCGUCUCACUCUCCACCCAGCUCCCAGGCUGCCCCACGGGACCAGCACCUUUGGGGAGAGACGAGACCUGAACAAACGCUGGGGCUGGAUCCCCAGGGUGGGUCAGAACAGCCGUUGCCCUGAAAGCUGGCCCGGACAGAUGCGUGCGGGGCGUGCCACCGGAGCUCCUUCCAGCUUGCGUCUGGGGCCACCAUGUCCCUUCCUCAGGGCACUGGAUCCAUCUCUUCAAGCUCAGUGGUCCAGGCCAUGGUGGCAGAAUCACCCCCCAGGGUGUGACGCCUCGUCCCUGUCAAUUCCACACAGCUGCACCCGGAAGAGCUGUGGCCGGGCGCCGCUCUGACCUGUGUGCGGUCCCCUGAAUGGGUCUCAGGUGUCUUCAGAAUGGUGAGGCCGCCUCAUUUCCUCACCACACAACCCUCCUGAGGACGUUGCCUGCAAAUGGGCGGAAUUCCUAAUUUCUACCAUUCAGUUAAACGAGGGAUCCUUAAGCCCCAAAGCUGGGAAAGCUGUCCGUUAAUUUAGUGCGCGUGGGCCGUCUCAGAACAGCAGGGUUCCCAGGAGUCCAGCGGGACGGGGGAGGGGAUGAGUGGCCGUGUCCCCCUGGCAGAGAAGGCCUUGUCUGAAGGCUACGCCCGCCUCCGGUACAGGGACACCUCCUUGCUCAUCUGGCAGCAGCAACAGCAGAAGUUGGAGUCGGUGCCACCUGGGACGUACCUGAGCAGGAGCCGAAGCAUGUGGUACUCACAGUAUGGAAAUGAGGCCAUCUUGGUCCGAGACAAAAACAAGCUCGAGGUCUCUAGGGACACAGGGCAGUCCAAGUUUUGCACAAUUAUGUAAUUCCGAUGUGAGCACCUGAACCCAGGACCACACUUUGAGGAAAACAGACCUGAGUUUCAUUCAGUUGUCUUGUUGAUUUCCAAUCCUUGCUGGAAGAUUUUGAAUAAUGAACGUGAAGAUCAAACUGUGGUGUAAGAACCCAAGAAGCGCAGAAUUGGCCCCCGAACCCCUCAGCACAGCCGCGGUGUGACUGGUGCACAGGACACUUCCCCUCUAGAGUCCCCUCCGUGGUCAGCUGUUGUGACAUUUGAAUUCUCCAGGUGCUGCUAGGGACAGCAUAGGCCCGGGCACUGCUAGAUGCUUGGUUUAAACCAGGCCAAGAGUAACCCUCCCAUCCCCAUUACAAACCACCUUUUCAAGUUUUUUAGGUUUUAGUUUUUUGUUUUUAGCAUAAAUGGCGGAGUAGCAGCAGCAUCUCACCAGGAGCUUUGUCGCAUUACAUUUUGUAUUUUGCUUUUUUGAGACGGGGUCUCACUCUGUUACCCAGGCUGGAAUACAGUGGCACAAUCACAGCUCACUGUAGGCUCUAUCUCCUGGGCUCAGGUGAUCCUCCCAAACUCAGCCUCCCAGGUAGCUGUGGCUCCAGGCGAACUACUGUAUAUAGAGACAGGGUUUCCCUAUGUUGCCCAGGCUGGUCUGGUCUUAUAGUCCUGGGCUCAAGCCUCCCAGAGUGCUGGGAUUACAGGCAUGGGUCACCGCACCAAGCCCGCAUUUAUAUUUUGAGUUACCAAAAUGAUCAUCAUCUGUGAAGCAUCAUGGUAGCUUCCAAGCAUUUGCGGCCCACUGGCCAGUGCAUCCAAAACACAUUCAGGAAACCCGAGAGUUGUAAGUUGCACAUGUGUGGCCUACAGUGACUUCCAUGUAGUAACAGGGCUGAGCAAGGCAGGCUCUCCACCAGACUUAAAGCAUUCAACCACUCUGCCCCCAGGCCGACACUGACAUGUGUUCACUGUCGCUGCCACAGCUGGCCACCUGUGUUCAGUCUCCAUGAAGGAUUCACCUUCUGCUCUCACUGACAUCUCCUUGGCUACACAAAUGUGCAGGUGUCUCUUGUCAAAGCUAAUUUUUCUUUUCUAAAUAAACAUCCUUUAAUACACUCCUCCCCUUCCUCACACUUAUUUUUAUCCUUGUUCGUAAUAUCCUACUUGGCUUCCCAUUUUUUAUAGCAGUAAUAUGUAAUUGAUUGCUAAAGACUGCAAUACACAAAGGCAUAAAGCAAAGCACAAGUGCUCUCCGUGGGGAGAACCCGGCCGGCAGCUGGGGAUGCGUCCCACAGCUCCUCAGCAUGCACACACGGUCACGUGAUUCUGACGGCCUCAUCCUGCACCAUGCCUCUUGUAUCCGCCAUUUUCUUUCUUGCUCAACUGUACAGACUGGGCAUUCACUUAAUGCUUUUCUUUUUUUUUAAGAGAGUCUCACUCUGUUGCCCAGGCUGGAGUGCAAUGGCACAAUCUCAGCUCACUGCAACCUCUGCCUCCUGGGUUCAGGCGAUUCUCCUGCCUCAGCCUCCUGAGUAGCUGGAAUUACAGGUGCCUGCCACCACGCCUGGCUAAUUUUUCUAUUUUUAAUAGAGACAAGGUUUCACCAUGUUGGCCAGGCUGGUCUCGAACUGCCAAUCUCAGGUGAUCUGCCCACCUCGGCCUCCCAAAGUACUGGGAUUACAGGCGUGAGCCACCGCACCCGGCCCACUUCAUGCUUUUAACCUCUGACUCGCAGCUCUCCCGUGAGCCCACAGACGGGCACAGUGACAGCAUCCAGGUUGUCAUCUGUGCAAACAGCAUGUUCUGAAUGUGCCUGUACUCUGUUCGUGCUUCUCUUUGCAGCUGUGCAAGUUCAUUCGCAAACGUCCUAGAAGUGGAACUGCUGGGUCAAAGUGCAUUCCCCAAAUGUCCUGCCAGAGGCCUGGUCGGCAGCAGCCUCCUGCACAGCCCGAGUCCCUUCUGCGAGAGUCCUGGCUUGUUUGCAGCCUGCAGCUGGGAGAUUUGAAGUCAGACUUCCAGGAUUGCCGCAUGGAGCUGCAGAGGGAGUGAGCAUGGGGCUGGAGGACCUGCCCCGCCGGCUGACACUCCCACAGCAAGGCGGGCCCGCCAAGGAAGCACUCCACAUCCGCUAGGUAGGGUUUGUCUGCAUCUUUUCAGUUCUUCAGUUUAAGUCCUGCCUGGGAAGAAAGCAAACUCCAGAGGCAAAUCUGGAAUGCCUGUGUGCCACCUUCUCACCGCACCACAGACUCCCCUGAGGACGGGUUGUGGCGGGGUUGGCCCCAAGCAUGGGAGGCAGCGCAGACAUGCAGAAUGGGGUCUGAGGUCACGUUGCAACGCUGGCAGGAUGUGUGCUCAAGGGCCAGUCUCUGCAGGGGUCAGGGCGUGUGGGCCACGCACAAGGAGCUGGCACUAAGCCGCUUAGGCUGCAGGAAGACACCAUCUGCCUGGGGCGGACAAGGCCCCAUGUCCGUCCUCAAGGAGGCUGGUCUGGAUGAGAAGGGUCACAGUCUGGCCAGGAGUGUCACCGUGCCCCCUGACCCCAUCUGGGGUCGGGCUGGACAGGUCCUCAGGCCUAGACGUGGGCCCAGCCAGAACCUUCUCCCCUGGCAUGUCUCUUCCAGGCCUAGUUCCAGAGCUGUCAUUCUUCGGCGAGCCGCGCUGCACGCCAGCCUCCAGUCUGGCAGUUAAACCUCACUAUGAAAAUCUGCUUUUGGGAUUUUAUUUGCAUUUCCAUUAGACUGAGCGCAUCACAAGCCACUUCAGGAUAGACUGAGGUGCAGAGGGAGGGGACAAGCGGCCAGGUUGACUAGAAGAGCACAGAACCUGGCUGUCUCGAAGAGGGCAGCUUGUUCCAGGGAACCAAUGAACUGUCAGUAAAGGGGAUUGUGGCUUCCUAGUGAGGCAAGAAAUGAUGCUCCCUUCAUCCUGCCAGGGCUCAGGACAAGAGCUACUUAAUGGUUUGAUUAUUAUUAUUUUUUAAGAGAUGUUGUCCAGGCUGGAGUGCAGUGAUGCAAUCAUGGCUUACUGCAGCCUCAAACUCCUGGCCUCAGGCCAUCCUCCUGCCUCAGCCUCCCAAAGUGCUGUGAUCACAGGCACGAGCCACUGCAUCCUGCCUUUAAAUGGUUUUUUGGGGCCCCUUUUGGAUGCUCUGGGUGUUUUUGCCAAGAGUUACAGGAUGUCAAGUGUGGGGAGCUCAGCACCCUUGCUGUGGACCAGUGAAGGCUGUUCCAGACCAGGUGCUUCCAGACAUUUCCAGGCUCCAGGAGAGAG
rnacentral:lncRNA from 1 species